rnacentral:pre_miRNA from 1 species
GGUUGUUGACAGAAGAUAGAGAGCACUAAGGAUGACAUGCAAGUACAUAUACAUAUAUAUCAUCACACCGCAUGUGGAUGUUAAAAUAUGUAUAACAAAUUCAAGAAAGAAAGAGAGAAAGAGAGGGAGAGGGAGAGAAAGAGCCUGCAUCUUAUCUUUUGUGCUCUCUAUACUUCUGUCACCACC